GUAGAUCAAAACAAAUAGCACGUUUUUCUGGACACUGUCUUGCUGAUUCCUUGGCGGCGUUUUUUAAAUUUUUGGCUGCUUCAGCUUGACGUAAAUGACGAUCAUGCUCUCUGGCAACGCGGGAGCCCUCUUCAGAUUCUGGAUCACAAGAAUUUUUCUGAGUAAUGAACGUGUCACACUUUGUACAUGUGUCUGAAUAUGGUCGGUGAAAAGCUAAGUUGAAAUGGGUAUUAAAAAUGUUGCGGUAUUUGCUCAGAUUUAAUGGUCGGGCUUCUUUUUCGUGACAAAAUUCUUUGUAUAGCUUGUACAUUUUUGUUACAUUUAACUCGGGACACAAAUAUUUGCGAUUCGGAUUGUCUUUUCUAGUAUAAUGACUCACAAAUUUUGGGAAUGAGUUUAUAUGCUGUUUUGCUAAGUUUAAAGACUCAUCGUCUAUUUUAUUGCUAGGGACAUGUCUUCCCCUUUGAUCCGUUUGGACGACUCCAGGCUCCUUCUUUUUCUUUGUGACGUUAUAAAACCGUUUGCGGCUAAUAUCUAGAGUUCUCAGAAAAAACUCUUUGCAUACACGUUUAUUUUGAAGUUUUAUCACAGUGCUAAUAGUCUUUUGUCUGGUGAUUUUUAGACAGUGCAUUUUUGGAGCAUUAUUUUGUAUGUAUGAUGCAAUAAAGGUGCUCUGUAGAUCCCAUCCAUUAGUUUUGUUUCCAAGAUUCCAAUAAUCAGUAAAAAUUGUGUUUCUAACUUCCUCCAUAAAAUUUUCUGUACACUUGUAUCUGCAUGUAUGGUCAUAAGCCUUAACAGAUUUUGCAUGAUGUAGUUCACCCUUGCGACCAACGUAUUCCUGGCCACUUUUUACGAACCCUUUUUCUGGACUUCCCAUUCCCAGCUUCAUUCAAGUUUUGCACUUCAGCAUCAUCGCCACCACUGCUACUUGGAACAUAAUCUCCAUCUAUAUCAGAGUUGUCUGAGAAUG